CGCACACACGGCGCACCGACAAGACUUGUUGUCGGAAAAAAAAAGAGGCCUAUGCUCAUGCAUCGGCGGCGGCAAUCUGGCUCUUUUCGGCGCCGUCAAACCAACGCCAGAGGUAGGCCGCAGCAACAGCGCGGUGGGGCGACCACCGAUGCGAGAGGGCCUCGACCUGCGCCAUGUCGGGUGCCCGCGGCAGACCAUAAAGGAGACCCAUCUUGCGGGCGAGCCACCUGUCGCCUACAGGAAAGGCGUCGCUGUCGAGCAGGGCCGUGACGACGGCGGCCUCGGUCGUCCAGCGACCGAUGCCCUUGACCGAAUCGGCGGCCGCGCGCAGAUCGGCGGCCGUCGCCAGGGGCGUGGCACGCGCGGUCGCGUAUGCGCACAGAUCACGGAAAAGUCGGACCUGGACGUCAUCGAGGCCGAUCACGGUGCAUGCGCCGUGGUCGGCAACAAGGUUGGCCAGAGCGUCGGGUGUAAAGAUGACGCCGCCGAGGCGCUCGUAAAAGGCGGCACGCAUGGCGCGGGCCUUGACGUAGCGUACGCGCUGGCCAAGGACGGCGCCGGCCAGGGCCUCGAACGGACCCUUGACAAACUGGUCCCAGUCGAGGGUGGAUUGCGCAAUGACCCGCUCCAGGGCCGGGUCGGCGCGGACCAGCCAUUCAUUGAUCUCAUCCAUGUGGGUCAGAAUGUCGUGUGGAGACGUCAGCGCCGCCAUCGGCACAGUCUCUGGAGACGCCCCUGGGUGCAAAGGGGCGCUGUCCACAGAGACCAGUGCCUCUGGCGCGGUACCAUCUCCAACGCCCAGGGACAAGGCCUCGGCAGCACAAAAGCCCGGCGCCGUUGACAAGAGGUUGUCGGCAUUCGAUGUCAUUUUUUUUCAAAAAAAAACGAAAAUGUCG
rnacentral:lncRNA from 1 species